UAAGGAAUAUUGGUCAAUGGACGCAAGUCUGAACCAGCCAUGCCGCGUGGAGGAUGAAGGUCCUCUGGAUUGUAAACUUCUUUUAUCGGAGAAGAAACCCCGACAUUCUUGUUGGGUUGACGGUACCCGAUGAAUAAGCACCGGCUAACUCCGUGCCAGCAGCCGCGGUAAUACGGAGGGUGCAAGCGUUAUCCGGAUUCACUGGGUUUAAAGGGUGCGUAGGUGGGCUAGUAAGUCCGUGGUGAAAUCCCCGAGCUUAACUCGGGAACUGCCGUGGAUACUAUUAGUCUUGAAUAUCGUGGAGGUAAGCGGAAUAUGUCAUGUAGCGGUGAAAUGCUUAGAUAUGACAUAGAACACCGAUAGCGGAGGCAGCUUACUACGCGAUUAUUGACACUGAGGCACGAAAGCGUGGGGAUCAAACAG
rnacentral:rRNA from 1 species